UACUGGGCGUCAGCCAGAUUCUUAAUGAUUUUAAGUCAAGCAGGUUUUCAAGCUUAAAACAUGAUAAGUAUUCUUUACCUACUUUAGCUAUGUCCAGUAACAUCAUAUGGAAAUUCAGCCUCACAAUAAAUAUGAUUUAGUUAUCAAAUUUAGGGUAUGCAUGCUCAUGUAGAGUAGAUGAGCAUAUUGAUUGAAUAUUUGGUGCCUGAGUAAGACUACCAGGCAGUUACUUAAUUAUGCUCUUGAAUGAAUUAACACUUCUCAAACGUGAGGAAAGCACGCCUAGCUCUGUCACUUCUUUUAGUGAAUUGGUGGGGACAUCCAAAAGUUUGCAGUACAUUUCUGAAAAAGUCCAAGUGUGAUUCAUAUUAAAGAAUCAUGGAUUUUUUUAAGCUUUAGAGCCCUACUAUGUAAUGUUGAUAAUUGUUUUUAUAGAUUAAAGUAAGAAGAUGCCAAUAAGUAGUAAGAAACUAAAAUUCAUAACCUAAAAAGUUAUCACCAAGAACAUUACAUAUACCAGUUUUUACAACAUUCACAUAUAUAUAUAUACAUAUGCAAAAGAUUAGUCUCCAGAUCAUACUACAGAUAAAAAUUUAUAAGUAUGCUAUUAAGAUAUUUUCUCAGAGUAUUGUUUAUAAGGCAACAUAAUUUUUAACUUUCUUUUUUAGUAUACUUAGGUGACAUCAACUCAAGAUAAAGAAUGCCAGUAAAAGGAAUAUUGAUAUUGCUCAGGGCAGAAAGACAGGGUUAUGAAGAAUGAUAUAUAUUUCAGAAUAUCAUUUUACCAAUAAAUUAUUUCUGGUAUGAUAAAAAAUGUGGGGAUAAAAAUUAUGGAAAAAAAUAGGGUCUUAAAAGUACUUCAGAGAAAAUUAGUUUAAGUUCACUGUUGACUUUUUAUGGAGUGCCAGAAUGUAUAAUUCAUAUAAUUGUAUGAAUAAAUUCAAGAAAUACUAAACAUAUAAGCCUGUAAUUAUAGUCCCUGAUAUGGUUUAAAUGCACUUCUCAAAAUGCAUGUAUAGGAAACUAGUUCCUCAGUACAAAGAAGUGAGAAAUGGUACCUUUAAGAUGAUGAGGUCAUGAAGGCAGAGCCAUCAUGUGAGUAUGCUAACGUUAUCAUGGGAGUGACUUUUCUAUAAUGAACUUCAUCCUUUUCCUGGUCUCUCUUGCCACAGGAAACUCUGACAUGCUAUUGAAUACUCUGAAGAACAUUACCAGUUAUGCUUUUGAAGAUUUCUGGGAUAUCACCUCCAACAGUGGUCACUGCUAACAGAAGCAUAUGGGGAUAAUGCUUUGAGAGAGAGAGAAGAGCCUUUACUCUUUAUUACAGAGAAUUAUGAUUUGUCUCAAUAUUUUCUUUAACAAUGUGUGUUUAAUUAAUAGCACAUGAUAAAUGCAGUACAUUUUGUCAUCUACACAGAAUUGUUUUGAAAGAAUAAAAAGGAGUCCAUUUAAA